rnacentral:rRNA from 1 species
UACGUAGGGUGCGAGCGUUGUCCGGAAUUAUUGGGCGUAAAGAGCUCGUAGGCGGUCUGUCGCGUCGGUCGUGAAAACUUGGGGCUUAACCCUGAGCUUGCGGUCGAUACGGGCAUGACUGGAGUUCGGUAGGGGAGACUGGAAUUCCUGGUGUAGCGGUGAAAUGCGCAGAUAUCAGGAGGAACACCGGUGGCGAAGGCGGGUCUCUGGGCCGAUACUGACGCUGAGGAGCGAAAGCAUGGGUAGCGAACAGG